UGAUCCUGGCUCAGGAUGAACGCUAGCUACAGGCUUAACACAUGCAAGUCGAGGGGCAGCAUGGUCUUAGCUUGCUAAGGCCGAUGGCGACCGGCGCACGGGUGAGUAACACGUAUCCAACCUGCCGUCUACUCUUGGACAGCCUUCUGAAAGGAAGAUUAAUACAAGAUGGCAUCAUGAGUCCGCAUGUUCACAUGAUUAAAGGUAUUCCGGUAGACGAUGGGGAUGCGUUCCAUUAGAUAGUAGGCGGGGUAACGGCCCACCUAGUCUUCGAUGGAUAGGGGUUCUGAGAGGAAGGUCCCCCACAUUGGAACUGAGACACGGUCCAAACUCCUACGGGAGGCAGCAGUGAGGAAUAUUGGUCAAUGGGCGAGAGCCUGAACCAGCCAAGUAGCGUGAAGGAUGACUGCCCUAUGGGUUGUAAACUUCUUUUAUAAAGGAAUAAAGUCGGGUAUGGGUACCCGUUUGCAUGUACUUUAUGAAUAAGGAUCGGCUAACUCCGUGCCAGCAGCCGCGGUAAUACGGAGGAUCCGAGCGUUAUCCGGAUUUAUUGGGUUUAAAGGGAGCGUAGAUGGAUGUUUAAGUCAGUUGUGAAAGUUUGCGGCUCAACCGUAAAAUUGCAGUUGAUACUGGAUAUCUUGAGUGCAGUUGAGGCAGGCGGAAUUCGUGGUGUAGCGGUGAAAUGCUUAGAUAUCACGAAGAACUCCGAUUGCGAAGGCAGCCUGCUAAGCUGCAACCGACAUUGAGGCUCGAAAGUGUGGGUAUCAAACAGGAUUAGAUACCCUGGUAGUCCACACGGUAAACGAUGAAUACUCGCUGUUUGCGAUAUACUGCAAGCGGCCAAGCGAAAGCGUUAAGUAUUCCACCUGGGGAGUACGCCGGCAACGGUGAAACUCAAAGGAAUUGACGGGGGCCCGCACAAGCGGAGGAACAUGUGGUUUAAUUCGAUGAUACGCGAGGAACCUUACCCGGGCUUAAAUUGCAGAUGAAUUACGGUGAAAGCCGUAAGCCGCAAGGCAUCUGUGAAGGUGCUGCAUGGUUGUCGUCAGCUCGUGCCGUGAGGUGUCGGCUUAAGUGCCAUAACGAGCGCAACCCUUGUUGUCAGUUACUAACAGGCUCCGCUGAGGACUCUGACAAGACUGCCAUCGUAAGAUGUGAGGAAGGUGGAAGG
rnacentral:rRNA from 1 species